GGAAGGCUGUGGUGCAAGGCCAUUUUUGCCGGCUAUAAGCAGGGUAUCCGGAACCAAUGGGAGCAGGCAGUUCUUCCUAAAAUUGAAAGUGUUUAUGCCCGAGAUGAAACAGAAUUCUAUUUGGGCAAGAGAUGUGCUUAUGUAUACAAAGCAAAGAACAACACAGUGACUCCUGGUGGUAAACCAAACAACACUGGAGUAAUCUGGAGAAAGGUAACUCGGGCCCACAGAACCAGUGGCAUAGUUUGUGCCAAAUUCUGAAGCACUCUUCCUACUAUGGCUAUUGGAAACAGAAUCCAAGUGAUGCUGUACCCCUCAAGGAU
rnacentral:lncRNA from 1 species